rnacentral:RNase_P_RNA from 1 species
CCAGAUAAUUGGAUGACUGCUUUACUUGUAAAGAGGAAAGUCCGGGCUCCACAAGACAAUGGUGCCGGGUAAUACCCGGCGGGGGCGACCCCAGGGAAAGUGCCGCAGAAAAUAAACCGCCUUAAUUGAAAUUUAUAAGGUAAGGGUGAAAAGGUGAGGUAAGAGCUCACCGCUUUUUUGGUAACAAAAAAGGCAUGGUAAACCCCGCCAGGAGCAAGAUCAAAUAGAGUUA